rnacentral:tRNA from 1 species
GGUAGGGUGGCCGAAAUAGGUGGUGGAUUGUAGCUCCAUGUAUAGAGGUUUAAGUCCUCUCCCUUCCA